rnacentral:rRNA from 1 species
UACGUAGGGUGCGAGCGUUGUCCGGAAUUAUUGGGCGUAAAGGGCUCGUAGGCGGUCUGUUGCGUCGGGAGUGAAAACUCGGGGCUUAACCCCGAGCCUGCAGUGGAUACGGGCAGACUAGAGGUAGGUAGGGGAGAAUGGAAUUCCCGGUGUAGCGGUGAAAUGCGCAGAUAUCGGGAGGAACACCGGUGGCGAAGGCGGUUCUCUGGGCCUUACCUGACGCUGAGGAGCGAAAGCGUGGGGAGCGAACAGG